rnacentral:rRNA from 1 species
UGGGGAAUAUUGCACAAUGGGCGAAAGCCUGAUGCAGCGACGCCGCGUGAGGGAUGACGGCCUUCGGGUUGUAAACCUCUUUCAGUAGGGAAGAAGCGAAAGUGACGGUACCAGAGGAAUAAGCACCGGCUAACUUCCGUGC